GCACAGGAUUCCUGAAAAUUGGGCGCCUUGAAGAGAAAUCUUCAAAGUGGAUCUGUUCAAAUUCGGGGAACGCUUCAUAGGGAACUAUAUGCCAAUCCCGAGCCAAGCCUCUCUUAACACAGAGAGGAAGGUGUAGAGACUGAACGGGCAGCACCUAAAAAGCGCGAGCUUCAAGGUGAAGAGACAGUCCAGACCACGAACAG
rnacentral:ncRNA from 1 species